UACGUAGGGACCAAGCGUUGUUCGGAUUUACUGGGCGUAAAGGGCGCGUAGGCGGCGAAUCAAGUCAGCUGUGAAAUCUCCACGCUCAACGUGGAGGGGUCAGCUGAUACUGCUGUGACUCGAGUCCGGUAGGGGAGUGUGGAAUUCCCGGUGUAGCGGUGAAAUGCGCAGAUAUCGGGAGGAACACCAGUAGCGAAGGCGGCACUCUGGGCCGGUACUGACGCUGAGGAGCGAAAGCGUGGGGAGCAAACAGG
rnacentral:rRNA from 1 species